ensembl:lncRNA
ACUUUCAUACUGAUCUUGCCUGAUCAGUUGGUUUCUUUUUUAUUUUUCUACAGUAUAUUUCAUUUAUCUUAAAAACAUUUCUGCUGUUGUUCACUGUGUGUGUCGUGGUCAGAGUGAAAUUGCACAAAAAUGGGUGGUACUCCACAAAACAUGACUUGACGCUGAUUGAACUGUAGACCCAGAGGCAGAACAAACAGUGAUAGCUAGCAUAACACCAUGGCUGAAUGUGAUAGAAAAAAAAUAACAACCUCUUUUGCACCUGGGUGGUGUGUCACCUUGUCGUCCUAAUGAAGAAACUGCACAAGUGAAAUGUUUUAGCAUACACUGUAAAAAAUUACUGAUGCAAAAAGUUGUACAAAUGAGGAAAUACAUGUUGGCUCAACAUAAUGGUUGUGUCAAAAAAGAAAAAUAUGUUUGGUCAAUGAAUGCAUGAUUUCCAUGACUGUACUAAAAAAUGUUCAUCAAGAGAAAAUAAAUAAUUGUGUUGGCAGAACUUUUAACGUUGCACAAAAAAUAUUAUGUUGGCCGAGCAAGAGGGAGCGUCAAACGUCUGAGCAUGCGCAAAGGAGUUCUACCAGGCAGGCGCCUCUUGGAAUUCCCCCCACCACGAGUCACGACUCACGACAUUGCAGCGGUAUUUUUUUUCAGGCUUAAAGCUAUGCAGUGCCGAUAUUGUAAAUUUUCACAUCUGCAUCAAGACAUUCUCCUUAAGCACUACAGGCUUCAUCAUUGGCAAGCAGGUAAAGGUUCUUUUCCCUGCAUUCAUCCAGACUGUGUUUGUAUUUUUACAACAACAGGGGCCUUAAAAACCCAUUUAUGGAGAGCACACCCUAAAAUAGACAGGCCCACUCAGACAGAUACUGACCAUGCCAGUUUUCGGUGUGAAUUAUGUGAAUUCUCAGAUAUUUGCUCACUUACUCAAUUUCUGAAACAUUUAGGAAGACAUUUGCAAAACCAUGAGCGAGUUCACUGUCCAUUCUCCAACUGUGAUUUUAGCAGCAACAACGACACAACUUUCAGAGCUCACAAGUCCAAGAAACACAGAAAACAAACUUUGAAUGACCUCUGCACAUCUGUUUGUACAGUAGAGAGUGCAGGCAAUGAGUUUGACACAGUCUCAGUUUCAAGUCCAUCAGAUCAAGCUGAUGACAUGCAGGCAGAUUCUCAUAUUUCAGAUUCAAACCUUGAGGAAUGUCAGCCAGUACUUGAACACAAACUUGCUGCCUUAUUCUUGUGUAUGCAGUCACAGUUGCAUGUGUCCCAAAGUGCCUCUCAACAGAUUAUUGAUAAUGUAAAUGACAUUCUGUCAAUUGCUAAUUCAAAUACACUGUGUGCAAUUCAGAAUAUUCUGCUGAAGCACAAUUGCAAUGUUAAUGAGUCAGUUGUUGCUGACAUUACUGACACAUUACAAAAAACAAACCCGUUUCUGAGUGCCACCACUGACAAAGGUCCCCUUUCAACUAAUCACAAGCGGAACAUCUACUUCAAAAACAAUUUUGGCAUAAUUGAACCUGUUGAAUAUGUGUUCAAAAGGGUACAGAAUCACUCAUUUGUUUAUGUUCCUCUUUUGAAGACUUUGAAGUCUUUGUUGGAGAGACCUGACGUACUUGAGAAGACAUUUCCCAUAAAGCAGGGUACACCAGGAUUUUACACCUCACCUUUUGAUGGUCAGUAUUUCAAAAUAAACAAGCUUGUUAAUGAUCAAGAUUUCAGACUUUCACUUGGGUUUUAUAUUGAUGAUUUUGAAAUUGCCAAUCCAUUGGGAACUUCUAGAAAGAAGCAUAAAAUUACAGCAGUCUAUUGGGUCAUUUUGAAUUGGGAAUCACAGUACAGAUCGAGUCUCCACUCUAUCCAAUUGGCACUGCUUGGGAAAAGUUCUGAAGUGAGACUGUAUGGUUAUGAAUCAUUUUUUGAACCACUUUUAUGUGACUUAAGGAGCCUAGAGCAGGAAGGCUUGUAUGUUGAACAGAUAGGUGAGAAUGUCAGGGGAACUGUGCUUAAUGUGUCUGCAGACAAUCUUGGUGCACAUGGACUUGCAGGUUUUCAGGAAAGUUUUCGUGUGGAAAAAUUCUGCAGAUUUUGCUUGGCAUCUUUGAAAGACAUUCAGACCACAGAAGUUAAGCAGGGACUCUUUCCACUCAGGAGCACGGAGCAACAUGAUCAAUGCAUUGCUGAGUUGAAGAGCAAUGAGUUUGUAACAAAUGUGCAUGGUGUGAAAGCUGAAUGUGUUCUUCAGAAACACCUAUCCUUCUUUCAUGUCAUCACUGGUUUUCCUCCAGAUGUUUUGCAUGAUCUGUUUGAAGGGGUUAUACCUAGGGAAUUGGCUCUGUGUCUGCAGAAACUGAUUGGUGCCAAGUACUUUACAUUUGAUCAGCUCAAUAACAUUAUCCAAACAUUUCAAUAUUCAUAUUCAGAUAAAGUGAAUCGUCCUCAAAGAAUUCCAAAGACCUUUCACUUGAAAAAAACAGUUGGAGGAAAUGCACAUGAAAAUUGGGCCUUAAUUAGACUGCUCCCUCUCAUGGUAGGUGGUAUGGUGUCUGAGGAUGAAAAAGCAUGGCAACUUUUAAUGGACUUAAAAGACAUUGUGGAAUUAGUGGUUAGUCCAAAGCUAUCAGAAGAAGCUCUCUGUUAUCUAGAGAGUAAAAUUUCUGAUCAUCGCCAGUUGUUCACUGAUGUUUUUCCCAAUGAAAGCUUGCUACCUAAACACCAUUACCUUGAGCAUUAUCCAAACUUGAUCCGCUGUUUUGGCCCUUUGGCUGAUUUGUGGACAAUGCGGUAUGAAGCGAAGCAUAGCUUCUUCAAGAGGGUGGUGCACGACACCCGCAAUUUCAAAAAUCCCCUCAAAAUGUUGGCAAGUAGGCAUCAAUCAAUGAUUGCUUUUGCUUUGGACGCCCAAAAUUUCUUCAAAGCACCAUUGCAUGUUGAAAAAUUGAAAGUGGUCAAAUUGUCAGCUGUUGAACCACGGCUGCGGAUAGCUGUUGAAAACAAAUAUCCAAAUCUGAGUUCCUUGUCCCUGGCAAAAAAUGCAACAUUGCUUGGGACUUUGUAUAGUAAAGGAAUGAUUCUUCCAGUUGGACUUAGUGAUGGCUUUCCAGAGUUUGGUCGAAUUCACAGCAUUCUGGUUGUUGGCACAGAGGUCUCAUUCAUAGUGGAACAACUGUCUUCAUGGUACUUCGAACAUUUUAGAGCAUAUGAAAUUGUUGGAAGUACUUACUGCAAUGUAGCCAUUGUCAACCCACAAGAUCUCAUUGAUUUCUACCCUCUGGCAUCAUACAACGUAGGUGGAAAGACUAUGGUGUCUGCUAAGAGAUUUUUACUUUGCUAA